rnacentral:lncRNA from 1 species
UAAGGUCAGAUGAUCGCUGAAGGUAGAAGAAAUGCCAUACACAUACAAGAUUUGAUAAUCUGUAAAAGCUUUCAGAUACAAGUGUGCAUCACCUACAACACUAACUUCAGAUGAGGAGAGCCAACUUCCUAAGAGCUGCUUGUACAUUUUCUUAUUUCUCAUUGUGAAGAAAAAAGUGGAAGUAGCCAGAGAAACUCAGAGACCUUCAACUGAAGUAGGAAAUAUCUUUAGGCAAAAAAAAAAUCAUAUUUCUCUUCCACUAUUGUUUUUAUAACUGCCAUUGUACCUAAAAUUGGAGAAGAAAUUUUUCUGCAACUGCUGCACA